rnacentral:lncRNA from 1 species
GGAUACUUCUGAUUUCCAUGCAGACAUGCUGUGGAUGAAGUCAUCUAGAUCCCCUUUCUCAUUUUUAAGGGACAUCUGAUCCUCGUAGCUACUUCUUUUGAAGCAAUGAAUGAAGGUGGCUUGCAAGAUGUGCUCUGAGCCUUUUAUCUCAACUAUCAAAAAGCUCCAGUGCCUCUUGACUUCAGCUAGAGAGAGACACCAGGACUCGCAGCCUGGGUGACGUGGGAGCAGGGGCCUGAGCCUGGCCCCAGAGCACAUAUGCUCCUUGUCAGGGCUGUCCUGCAUGUUUUCCUCUGGACACCAGCGCAUGCUUCCUAUCCUGCGUUAAACAGUGUUAGAAAACCUGCUGUUCCUGGACAUGCUAAAGCUGUGCCAGGAGGAGCAACACACAGCAUCUGACUGUCUGCUCCAGGCCAAGGCAGCGUCCCGAAAGAAAAGCAGGUGGCCAUCACAUACUCAUCACUGUUUUCACUACCAACCUCUCAUCUUUGAACGGAAAGAAACCCCACAACCGCGCAUGGGAAGCUCUGAGAAAUAGGUAGGUGCAUAACUGAUAAGCUGGUUAUUAAUGCAAAAUCAUUCACCCAAGAAAAAAGGAACAAAUGCAACUUCACAGCAGCUC